UACAGAGGUCUCAAGCGUUGUUCGGAUUCAUUGGGCGUAAAGGGUGUGUAGGUGGCGCGCUAAGUCGGGUGUGAAAUUUCGGAGCUUAACUCCGAAACUGCAUUCGAUACUGGCGUGCUUGAGGACUGGAGAGGAGACGUGGAAUUCCUGGUGUAGCGGUGGAAUGCGCAGAUAUCAGGAGGAACACCGGUGGCGAAGGCGGGUCUCUGGGCCGAUACUGACGCUGAGGAGCGAAAGCGUGGGGAGCGAACAGG
rnacentral:rRNA from 1 species